AUACGAAGGGUGCAAGCGUUACUCGGAAUUACUGGGCGUAAAGCGUGCGUAGGUGGUUCGUUAAGUCUGCCGUGAAAGCCCCGGGCUCAACCUGGGAAUGGCGGUGGAUACUGGCGGGCUAGAGUGCGGUAGAGGGUGGUGGAAUUCCCGGUGUAGCAGUGAAAUGCGUAGAGAUCGGGAGGAACAUCUGUGGCGAAGGCGGCCACCUGGACCUGCACUGACACUGAGGCACGAAAGCGUGGGGAGCAAACAGGAUUAGAUACCCUGGUAGUCCACGCCCUAAACGAUGCGAACUGGACGUUGGGCUCAACUAGGGGCUCAGUGUCGAAGCUAACGCGUUAAGUUCGCGGCCUGGGGAGUACGGUCGCAAGACUGAA
rnacentral:rRNA from 1 species